rnacentral:rRNA from 1 species
GACGAACGCUGGCGGCGUGCUUAACACAUGCAAGUUGAACGAAGAGCGAUGGAAGCUUGCUUCUAUCAAUCUUAGUGGCGAACGGGUGAGUAACGCGUAAUCAACCUGCCCUUCAGAGGGGGACAACAGUUGGAAACGACUGCUAAUACCGCAUACGAUCUAAUCUCGGCAUCGAGGAUGGAUGAAAGGUGGCCUCUAUGUAUAAGCUAUCACUGAAGGAGGGGAUUGCGUCUGAUUAGCUAGUUGGAGGGGUAACGGCCCACCAAGGCGAUGAUCAGUAGCCGGUCUGAGAGGAUGAACGGCCACAUUGGGACUGAGACACGGCCCAGACUCCUACGGGAGGCAGCAGUGGGGAAUCUUCCGCAAUGGACGAAAGUCUGACGGAGCAACGCCGCGUGAGUGAUGACGGCCUUCGGGUUGUAAAGCUCUGUUAAUCGGGACGAAAGGCCUUC